rnacentral:rRNA from 1 species
GACGAACCGUGCGAACGUUAUUCGGAAUCACUGGGCUUAAAGCGCGUGUAGGCGGAUGGGGACGUCGGUCGCUGAAAGCCCCCGGCUCAACCGGGGAACGGGCGCCGAAACGCCCCGUCUGGAGGGACGUAGGGGGACCUGGAACUUCCGGUGGAGCGGUGAAAUGCGUUGAGAUCGGAAGGAACGCCCGUGGCGAAAGCGAGGUCCUGGACGUCUGCUGACGCUGAGACGCGAAAGCUAGGGUAGCGAACGGG